CAUGAGACUCAGCUGUUGGGCAUUUUCUCAAUUAGUGAUCAAGGGGGGAGGGCCCCUUGUGGGUGGUGCCAUCCCUGGGCUGGUAGUCCUGGGUUCUAUAAGAGAGCAGGCUGAGCAAGCCAGGGGAAGCAAGCCAGUAAGAAACAUCCCUCCACGGCCUCUGAAUCAGCUCCUGCUUCCUGACCUGCUUGAGUUCCAGUCCUGACUUCCUUUGGUGAUGAACAGCAAUGUGGAAGUGGGAGCAUGGCGAAUUACUGUAAAGACUAUGGCUAUCUCUCAAGAGAAAACAAAGACCGGCAAGAUGAUAUGGAACAAGAAUGAAGGGUUCUGACAUAAGAGUAUGACAAGAUACUCAGCUGCUGUGUAAGAGAAACAGGGGAGCAGAGACACUAAUUAGGGAGCUGACUCAACAGUCCAGCAACAGAAAAGUAACGAAGACAUGGGAAAAUGGUUGUCAGUAAAAUGUUGACUGUGUAAACAUGAAAACCUAAGUCUGAUGCCCGGAAUCCACAUAAAAAGGACCCAAUAUGGUUGGUGGCACAUACUUGCAGGAGGCAGAGGCCUGGGGUUCGCUGUCCUGCAAGCCACAGGCUAAUGAGAGACCCUGACUCAUAAAACAAGGUACACAAUACCCGAAGAACAUCUAACAAAAUAACAGAAGGUAAGAGUGAAUAUGGAAACCCUGAGAGCUGAAGAUAUAGCCCAGAGGAUAUAGCACUUCUAGGCCCAAGGCCCCCAGGUUCAAUCUCUAACACUGGAAAACAAAUAAAUGGGAGAAAGUUGAAUAAACAGGAGGGGGAAAACCCUGACAUCAGAGACCAAGGAUGAGCACAUGUCCAAAUAAGGUCAGACAGCCUUCUCGGCUCCCAAUAUGGAAAUCUUAAGUCAAGUAAGAAGCAUGAAGCACAGCUGGAGCUGACUCAAGACAACCUGACGAGGCCAACUGAGAUCACCGGUCUGUCUUCUGUCCUCACCUACAGCUUUUUACUAAGUUCCUUUCUUAGUUUAUGUUAUGAGAAAUUGUUUUCUGUUGUUUACAAUCAGGACAAGGGACAGCAGACAGUAGAGUGCCAGAGAUAACAGAAGCACUUGUGUACCUCUGUGUACAGUACUAAGCUUUAAAAAGUACAGCAGAAGCCUUCCAGCCCAAAGCUCCAUCUUCCAGGAUUUCAGUUAAGUGACUAGUACAGAGCAUGUCUUAGUUACUUUCGCUGUGAUAAAACACCAUGACUAAAGCAACUUAGAAAGGAAGGAAGGAAGAUACCCAAGAGAGCAGUGUGGGCAUCUCAAGCAUCAUCAAGUAGCCAUGCAUAUUGCUUUUGGUGGAUUCUGACCUUACACCUCAAAUCUCUGCUAAGGAACUUAAAUGAACCCAAAAGGUGGUUCCUGAGGUACAUAGGAUUAUAGCUAACAGGGUAAAACCUAGGGUUACAGGGGAAGUUAACACAUUUUUUUUUUUUUUAGUAUUUUUCUAUAUUCUUUGUGUAUAUAAAGAAUAAGGCUAUACUUGAAAAUCAUAUAUCUUAGGCCUUAACCAGGUUUUACCGCUAUUUUAGCAUGAAAUACCUCUAUUUAAAGAGAAUGUUAUCUUGGGCUGGAGAGAUGGUUCAUACAUGGUUCUGAGUUCAUACAGAACUCAGAAAUCUGCCUGCCUCUGCCUCCCAGAGUGCUGGAAUUACAGGCGUGCGCUGCCACCACCUGGCUUACACUAGAAUUCUUAAUUCUUGGCUGGUAAGAGUCUCCAAUCAGAUUUCUUUUCUUUUCCCAUAUCCUCAAAAUCUUCCCUAGCUGUCUAUCCUGCCUCACCUUUGUGACUUUAUCAAUGUAUCACUAUCUACACUCCUCACACAAGACUGCUCAUAUAAUAGAUGAAUGAUUCCAUCUCCAGCGGCUAAGAAAGACUCCCUUCGUUAGGCCAGUCUAUAUUGUUUUCCAAAAAAGAACUAUGCUGAUAGCCUUCUAAGCCCCACCAAUCCCCAAACAAAACAAAAACAAACAAACAAACAAAAAACCCAAUAUUCUAUUACAGGCAAUGGCCUGCAGUUCUGAUGGUCUAGGCACCACUCCCUUUAAACGUCUCUGAAUGAGAAAAACUGAAAAAAAUGAAUGAAUAUUUGAUUGUUUUCUAAAACUCUACAUAAGGACAACAGGCAUUCAACUUAAGCCUGAGGUUUAAGUAAGGUAAGCAUGCCGGGCAGUGUAGGCGCACGCCUGUAAUCCCAGCACUCUGUAAUCCCAUACCUGGUCUACAGAGUGAGUUCCAGGAUAGCCAGGGCUAUACAGAGAAACCCUGUCUCGGAAAACAAAAAACAAACAAAAAAACAAAACAAAACAAAAAAAAAAGUAAGGUAAGCAUGUAUUUACAGACUCUGAAACAGCAAAGAAUAAACUGAACUAGAGGGAAGAUAUAAAUCAAAUUCCCAAAGGUACCCUAUUAGUUAAUGACAGGCUUAACAUAUACCACUUUUAUGAAACUGUUUCUGUUUUUUAGGAAGAGUAGUUACCUAAGGUGGUACCCAGGCCUUGGAGCCAGCCUGCAAGUUAGUCUGUGCUGGAGAUAUAUAUAAUAGACACUUAGAAGCUGCUUUUGCCAAAAGAAGUUGUUUUCUUACCUAAGCCCACCAGAUAGAAAGCAGGAGGAAGCCUGCCUCCAUUUGUGCCUAGCUCCUUUACUCUGGUCAGACUCCAGCUUGACCUUGUACAGCCCUGAGAGUCAGUCAAGAACUGAUUAUCUCCCUAACCCAUCUCAUCCCCUUUAAGGCUGAAGAUACAAAGAUAAGUCAAGCAUCAGAAAGCUUUGUACUACCUUGGAUCCUAGGAAUGGCAGGGCCACACAGAGCAGACCACUCUGUCAAUAUAGCAAUUAUAUCUGUGAUGGAUGUGGCUACAUGUCCUGGAGUUGAAGAAACCAUCUCAAACCAGACAGAUUCUCUAACCUUCUUCAGCACCUUGUAGAACCAGAAAAGAAAGGACAGUUAACUAGGCCACUCCUCCACCAGAACUGCUUAAUUAUGCAGUGUUCUAAUUUUUAAUCUAUUUCAACUAAAGCCCAUGCCAGUACCUCACAGAUGAACUUGGCCAAUGGGGCCUUUUUGCUUCUCUUCCUAAUGUUGACUGAAAUUUUUCUCUGUUUUUCGCCAAUAUUCAUUACAUGGAGAGGUAGCUGAGGUUGCCUUCCUAAGAUUGCUGGAGCUGGGCUUUUGCCCUAAAACUCUGGUUACAAAAUCAUAAUCAUGCCCAACCCACCCUCAUUCUUAUCACAGUCUACCUGUGUCCUAAGGUCCCCUUUGCUGAUGAAGUGCUAAUCUGUCCGGGUCACCUUAUCAGUCUGGGCAACAACAUGGCCCCACUUCCCACAACUCAAAGGUAUAUUACAGUAAGUAUACAUGGUGUAGUCUAAAUAAUUUUGUGGAGGGGGAAAAAAUCUUAUUCAAGACUUGUAAUUGGGUUUGGUAUCUCUCAUCUGUAAUCUCAGCACUGGGGGUCUGGGACAGGAGGAUCAUUUAGAGUUCUAGGCUAGCUAGGGGUCACAUAGUGAGUUCCAUUCCAGCAUGAGCUACAGAAUGAAACCACCUCAAAAAAUAAAAAACAAAAAUCAAACAAACAAAACACUACCAGGAUCUACAUUAAACCUAACUUUAAAAUACAACAACCUCUAACAAACAUCAUCAUUGUUUCUAUAUCUUAGAAUGAAUUCAGAAUUGAUUUAUUUGUAUUUAUGUGGAUGUUCCGUCUAUGAAGGUACAUGUUAUGCAGAUGCACACGCAGGCCAGAAGAUGGUGUCAAAUGUCCUGGGACUGGAGUUCCAGAUGACUGGAAGGUAUGAGGUAUGAGUGUAAGGAUCUGAAUUUGGGUCUGCUAGAAGAGCAAAUGUUCUUAAACCUCUGAGCCAUCUAUCCAGCCCUAAAUCUCAGUCAUAAUAGAAAACAGGAAACAAAUGCGGCUCAUAUGUUCUAUGCUAUAAAAGUAUAUUUGUACUUCAUCUUGUAGGAAUUUGCCUGCAAAAUACUAUAAGCAAUUCAGUACAUCGCACCACUGUUAGCUCUGAAGAAUUCCAGACUCGGGAAUCUUGGUGUACACAAAAACCCCUCUACACAGACACGCUGUGAGGGUAGUGCAGGAGGCUGAAGAAGAGCACCAACACCAUGCACACCAGACUCAGGGCUGACCACCCAACCGGAGGGACAAGAUAACCUCAGAAAUCACUGUCUGGCUGCAUUGAUUCUCUAUCAGGUAGGCUAGUUGGAGCUGGCUUGAGGAAAGCAUAUCUUCUGGAAUGUUAGUCCUUUAGCUUCCCAGACUGUAUGGGUUUAAGGAGUAUAAGGAUUCUGCUUAUUCAUUCUGCAAUGGCUGGUACAAACUCUGGUAUACCAGUUACAAUUUCAAAGACUAAGUCACAUGACUCAUGACACAGAUAUGAGUCAUACAGCCCCACUGAUCUCCACUCUACUGCAUAGCACUAGGGAUACAUGGGCAGCUAGUCUACCUUUUUACGUGGUGCAAACUCAGGUCUUCUCACUUGUAUAACUCCCACCCCCAGACAAGUGUUUCUCUCUGUAGCCCUGGCUGUCCUAGAACUCACUCUGUAGACCAGGCUGGCCUCUAACUCACAGAGAUCUGCCUGCUUCUGCCUCCCAAGUGAUGGGAUUAAAGGGGUACAUCACCACACCCACCUUGGCUAAUGACCUUUUUAAUGUUCUUGAAUUCAGUUUUCAGAUUUUUAUAUUCAUCAGAGAAUAUCCCUAAUUUUGUUUUUUGUUGUUGUGUCUUUAUCUGAUUUUGGUAACAGAAUAAUAAUGGUUUUGUAAAAAGACUCUGGUAGCAUUUCUUCCUUGUUUGUUUUAUUGGCUAGUUUGAAAAGUGCUGUUUAAAAGUUGUAGAAUUCAGUAAUGAAUCCAUGUAAACAUAGAAUUGUGUAGUCUGACAUUUUAUUAUUAUUAAAGAUUUACUUUUGUUCCCUGUUA